rfam:Mucor ambiguus DNA, scaffold: scf_mam1_v10264, strain NBRC 6742.
UCCUCAAUGGUCCAACGGCUAGGAUUUAUCGCUUUCACCGAUACGGCCGGGGUUCGACUCCCCGUUGGGGAA